CACGCCGAAGCGUAAACGUGUCAGCACCUUCGACGUUGAACGCACAUAUUUGACGAGCGAGUGAUAUGCAACCGCCAGAUAAAUCGAAUUUACGAUAAAUCUGAAAGGACUGUGGCAAAGCCGUCUCUCCGGUUGCAGGACGAAAGAAAUAGGGAAAUAUGUAAGAUAGCCGAUUUUUACGAAGCAUAAUAUUAUUCGUUACAAAAUUGAUGAUGCGCAAAACCAUGUGAGCAAAAAGUUUAUUACAUAUUCGAAUUUGUGAAUUACGAACUCUACGAACUGCAUGCUGUGAUUUUAUUUUGCUCUGAAGUUCUGUUUAAUAUCACAUUAAGCAUAUAAUUAUUAUGAGCCUUUUCCAAAAAAUAACUUUCUCGUCCUUUUUCCCGCAUUAACCAAAACUUUGAUAUUAAGCACUUGAAUAUUCAUGGCGCGGCUUUUAUUACAUGAAUAACAUUACCUUUCUUCACUCCACAGCGCGAAGCAUUAGGGACGUAAAUCACGGCUCGAGUUCAUACAUUUUACAUGAUUUUAGUUUAUAACGCGCAGUUAGCGUGGAUCAUUAAUUUCAAUAAUCCUUCGGAUAUUGCUCGCGCAUAGACGCAAUUAUAAAUGUAACUCUUGAAUGAACUUGUGUUAUCGAACUCAUAUUAGACUCUAUGUCUAAUACUCUUAUAUACACAUAUGUAUAAAAUAUAUGGCCUAAAUAGAUCGUUUGUCUUUUUCAUUUUCUUUGUUUUUUCAACAUUUCUUCAUCUGUUUUUCAAUAUUUAUAAUAAAUAACAGUUUAUAGACAUUUCAGCAAAUCAUAGAAAGUUAAAUCUAGUUUAACUUUAAAGUUUUAAAUCUAAUUGCAUAAUAUCCAAUUGAAUUAGAGUUAAUCUUUUUAACUGUAAUUCUAUAUCAAAUUAUACUGUCUACGCGUACUUGAUUUUAAAACUUUCUUUAUCAAGAUAGUAAAAUACUAGAUUUUAUAUAAGACAUUUUAACUUUCUUGUAUAAGUUAUUUAACUAAAAGAAUCACAUUUUAACAGUAUAUAAUUUAAAUAUUUAUAAUAUUUAUUAGCAAGAAUUGUUAAGAAAAAAAUUUUUUAAGGAGAUGCUACAAUUAUUAGUUUUACUGACUAAACAGCGACUUACACAUAUGCAAUUUACAUGUGCACACAAUUUACAAAAUAUCAAUACGUCGCUAUAUAUUACUAUAAUAUAUCAAUAUCACAAGCAUAAAAAACAAAUUUUCAAGCACACUAAUUUUUCAUAUUAAAUAUCUAAGCUUAAUUCUAAGAACUCAACAUUGUUUUUUCGUGUAAUCCAUACAUCAUGUCAUUCUUGUUCUGUUACAAACACAGAUUACAAAAUUUUUGUAUGAAAUAAAUAUUAGCACACGUUAAUAGCUAUAGAUGCCAUAUUGGACUAAGAAUAAGUAAAAUUAAAUUUUUUUGUUCUUGUGUGACAUAAAAUCGACCAGCUUGUAUUAUUAGUUAUAUUAACCUACACUUUAAACGUGGAAGAUUUUUAAAUCCAAGUAAAAAAAUAGCUUGCUGAAAAAAUAACAUUUGUGAUCAGUAAAACAAAAGAACUUUAACAUCCCGUUCAAAUGUAAUUUAAGUUUUACAACACAUAGCACAAAUGUACAAUAGUUAUAUUAUAAAGAAAUAUAUACAAUAGAAAGUAUUAUGUAAAAUUAUAUAUUAUAUUUUAUAUUUAUAUUCUUUUUAAAUUACAUUUUAAAAUUACUAAUUUUAUACAUAUAUAUUAAUAUAUUUUUUAUUUAACAUUUUAUGAAACACAAUUAUAUUAAAUUCUAUUCGCACAGUAUAAUUCUGCUAAAUGAAGACGGGCAACCGAUUAUAGAGCAUGACCACGUACAACAGUGACUAAGGACAGCAAGGGUGAAAACCAACCCUUGCGCACCUGCCCGCUCCCAUGUUCGAUUAGCGAUGAAUUAUCCCCAACCAAGCUCCCAUGCCAGUAAUUCUACCUGUUGGUCUAAAUCUCAGUCCGUUCUGUUCUCCCACUGAUUAUUCAGCUAUCAAACAUUUUCGAACGUUAACGUUUAAAUCAAUCGAGCUUUGUAUUUCACGCGUUUCACGAGAGGAAUGCUUGUGCAACGUGGCAAAAAAAAAUUAAUUUUGUUCAUGUAAUAUAUAAUAAAAUGUUUCAAAUGUCGAAAUAUUUUAUCAUAUAAUGAAUCAGUAAAAAUGUAAGUGGACUAAAAGAAGAAAUUUUUAUCUGACACAAAACAAUUUUUAAUCUGACAGGGAGUUACUCACCAACUGAUAUUGUUUAAAUUACUCUUAAUGAAUUGUGUCAGCAACAGUAGCGGAAACCAUUGCAGAUACAAUUCAUUCCAAAUUUACUCUACCUUGCAUCGGACAUGUGAUCGAUAGAUAGAAAUACUCUACGAGGAGGGAAGUGACCACGUGUACCUUUCUCAUUUUACAGAUCCGAUUUUGGUAAACUUAAAAAUCACUUGUUUCUCUUUGGAUACAUGUAUCUUUUGUUAUCAGUAUUUUAUCAUUAGAUUGUCUGAAUGCAAUUUCAUAAAAUGCAAAUCAUUUCUCUAUAAAUCAAAAUUGUAUUAAAAUAAUAGAUUUAGACAAUUUAUUUAAUGUAGAUUAUUAGGAAUGCGCGUGUUACACAUUUUCUAUAUAUCUUCUAAUUUAUUUAUAUAAUAGCCUUGCAAAAAUAGUUACUGAUUCGCAUUGACUUAUAGCUGGAUAGAAUACUUUAAUCUUCCGUGCUGGAAGAUUUCCAAAUAUUUGAUAAUAAAUAAUUCUUCACAAAAAUAUUCGUCAUUUUUAUACUUACAUCGUAUAUACAAAACGUGUAUUGUUGCGUAAAUUGAAUUUUUGUAUGGUUUUAUCAACACGUUCACGAAUGUCCGUGUAAGCAAUAAUCAUAAAAGGUUCAAUCGCAAGAUAUUGGAUCACGAAAGGCGAUACAGAAGAUAGAAGAUAGACAAAGAAUGUAGAACGGGAGAUACGUGAUGGAGAUGUUAACCUUCUCAUCUAGUCGUCGUGAAUCGUUAUAUCGUACCGUGCUCUGUAUAUAAUGGCGCGACUUUGCCUGUUCGCAAAACGGACAAUAUCUUUAUCUUUACGAGGGUUUGAGCUUUUUAAUUUCAUGACGAAUUAUCGUAAACGAAAUGCCUACACAGCGAAGCUUCGGACCGUAGUACUUUGUUAACGGCCACACAUAAAUCUGUCCGGACGUUCAAAUAUUAACUGUUUCAUGAUAUACGAUCGCAAAGCUAAAAUUGCACAGUUAUAACUACGUUCGACUGCAGUUUGCGCAGAUCCCUCCCCUGCAAUUUCGUAAGCGGCAAAUUGAUUAUUCGAGCACGACAUCAAUCCAAUUUUACUGCCUGGCUAGUCAAAUGACAGAAUUAAACAUAUGGAAUUUUUCUUAAGCGGAUAUUUGCUAAGAACACGGGUGACUAUAUAUCACGUAAGGGAGAUUGUCCGUUCAGUUACGAUGACAUUUUUUCGUACUACAGAGGAUAUGCAGGAUUUUUGGUUGAAUGUUAAAUCUCGGCAGACGGUGCGGAGACAGAAAGAAGAAUAUGAAUUACGCAUCCCUGGGACUUAUUUGGCUUUCUGGCUGAAGCUUUGAAUUUUCAACAGGGAAACGCUUGAAUUUUAAUCAACAUAUAAAGUGGCUAUUUUUCAACGUAUAUUCCUGGAUACUUUCAGCAUGUCUCGCAAAAAUAUGAAUAUGAAUAAUUUCCUUAUCACUGUGGAUACCACUAAUAUAGAAGAUGCUAUGCAACAGAAAAUAUAAAUAAAAUAAAAAAUAUGAACAGAUAUA